rnacentral:lncRNA from 1 species
UUUUUUUUUUGGUAGAGGGGGUACCAGGGAUUGAACUCAGGGGCACUCAACGUCUGAGCCACAUCCCUAGUCCUCUUGUAUUUUAUGUAGAGAAAGGGUCUCACUGAGUUGCUUAGUGCCUUGCUGUAGCUGAGGCUGGCUUUGAAUUUACAAUCCCCCUGCCUCAGGCUCCUCAGCCACUGGGAUUAUAGGCACAUACCACCUCACCUGGCCUCAAUUUUGUAAAUAUCUAAACAGUUGUUUUAAGAUUAGAGCAGAUGGCAGAAGGUUCUGGCACUAUUGUUCCAUAAUUCAAUUUAAAAGAAAUCAUGCCAGGAACUGUAAGAAUGUCAUGAAGAUGUUAAAAAUCAUAAUCAUCCUCUAAAUAAAUAUAUUAUCAUUGUUCAUUGUUUUACAGAGAAAAGGCAAUAGAAUCGGUGAAUUCUAAUAUUAACAAGGGAGAUUAAUAUCAAAAGAUUGGGAAUUUCUUUAUAGAAAAUCAACAUAAAUGAGAGAUUUUUGAGUAGCAUUCACCCAGUAGGGAGAUACUCUGAGUAUGAUGAAUUUAGGAUUUUAUCCUAAAUUUAGCUCAAAACAUGAGGCAGAGUUUCACUAAUACACAUUCCUACACAUGUAACUGGGCACUGAGGUUCCUAAAGGAACUUCAUAAAAAUAUAGAGUAGUCAUUUCCAAGAGUAGACUGGAUGUCACAGGAUCCUUGAAAUUGGGUUCCUUCAUUCAGCUUGAAGUUUACAGAGCAGGGAAUGUUUACAUGUAAUCAAAGUGGUAAGGAUAAUAAUCAUAAUAAUACUGUUUCUGUCUGCAGAUAGGUAAGAAUUAAUAAGUCUGAAAAGUCUUUUAACCAUCAUUCAUCCCUUCAUCAACAGGCAGGACACCACAGUGCAGGGGAACUUUGUGACUAUAUGCAGUGUGGAGAAAUCUUCAGUGAACACUCAUAUUUCAAGACUCACAUGAAAACUCAAAAUACAAGGAAUGCAGGGCAUUUUACUCACUCUACAAGUCCUGCCGUGCCUGUUCAAAUGCGCACAAUGAAAAACAAUGCAUGUAAGGUUUGUGGAAAAGUCUUCAGACGUUCUUCAAACCUUAAUAGGCACAUGCGAACCCAUACUGGGGAGAAACCCUUUAAAUGUAAGGAAUGUAGGAAGCCCUUCACUACUUACUCACGGCUAAUGGAACAUUUUAGAAUUCAUACUGGAGAAAAACCCUAUAAAUGUAAGGAAUGUGGAAAAGCCUUCACUAAGCGCUCAGGCCUUACCACACAUGAACCAACACAUGCUUCAGAGAAGCCCUAUGAAUGUAACGAAUGUGGGAAAGCCUUCGCUUCAUCCUCACGCCUUGCUCAACAUGUAAGAACUCACAGUGGCGAGAGACCCUAUAUAUGUAAGGAAUGUGGAAGAGCCUUUCUCACUUCCUCAUAUCUACGUAACCACAUAAGAAGAACUCACAGUGGGGAGAAACCCUAUAUAUGUAGGGAAUGUGGAAAAGCCUUCCAUUCUUCCUCAUACCUACGUAGACAUGUAAGAACUCACAGUGGUGAGAGACCCUAUAUUUGUAAAGAGUGUGGAAAAGCCUUCCUUAAUUCUUCAUACCUACAUAAUCAUGUAAGAAAAACUCAUAGUGGAGAGAUACCCUUUAUAUGUGGUGAAUGUGGUAAAGUCUUUCAUGCUUCCUCAUACCUACGUAGACAUGUAAGAACUCACAGUGGAGAGAGACCCUAUAUAUGUAAGGAAUGUGGGAAAGCCUUCCUCAAUUCCUCAUACCUACGUAAACAUCUAAUCAUUCACACUGGAAAGAAACCCUAUGAAUGUAAGGAAUGUGGGAAAGCCUACAAUAGAUGCAAUCUAUUACUUGACCAUUUAAAAACUCACAUGGUGGAAAAGCCAUUUGAAUGUAAUGUAUGUGGAAAAUCCUUUCAGUAUUUCUCUUAUCUUACUAAGCACAUUCGUAUUCACACAGGAGUAAAACCCUAUAAGUGUAAGUACUGUGGGAAAGCCUUCACCACUUCUUCAAGCCGAACUGAGCAUGUAAGAACUCACACUGGGGAAAGGCCUUAUGAAUGUAAGGAAUGUGGGAAAUCCUUCAGUUCAUCCUCAAACCUAAUUCAUCAUGUGAAAAUUCACACAACAGAGAAACCCUUUAAGUGUCAGGAAUGUGGGAAAGCCUACAGUAAGUUUUACCUACUAACUGAACAUUUAAUAACUCACACUGAAAAGAAACCCUUUCAAUGGGAGGAAUACAAAAAAAUCCCUUAAGAUUCUUCACAUUGUAAGGAAGGAAAUAUAAAAUAUUUCACUAAUUCCCAGAAGGUUACUAAAUGUGAGACUUUGCAAUAGAAGGAAGAACUCCUGAUGUAAAAUAUAUGGGAAGGUUGUAGUUCUGUAAAUAUGUUGGUCUUCACUUGUGUCAUCAUAGUGGAGAAAACUUUAGAAGGAAAGGACUGUUGGAAAGUCAACCUUUAGCAAACAUGAUUCAGAUCCAAGAGAAAUUUAAUAUAGGGGUUUGGGAAUUAUGUCCCCUUAACUUGAAAUCUAGUGUACCAACAGACACCACUGUCUGAAUGGUUCUGGUUUAUUUCGAACAUUUGUGAUUCUACCUUGAUCAUUCUGGAGUGAUAUGUCUUUCCUUUCCUCCAUAGCAACACUAUUUCAUUUCAGUCAUUUCAGUUGCUACAACUUCUGGAUAGCCACCAGGUGAAAAGUGGGCCUUUGGGAUACAAACAAUACUAUUUUAGCAGUAUAGAAUCUUUCCUAGGUUUCUCAUGUUUUUUUUUUUUUUUUUUUGUACCAGGGAUUGAACUCAGGUGUUUAACAGGGUCUCACUGAAUUGCUUAGGACCUUGCUAAAUUGCUGAGGUUGGCUUUGACUUGUGAUUUUCCUGCCUCAGCUUUCUGAGCUGCUGGGACGGGCACGCAUGACCAUACCUGGCUUGUCAUGCUCUUAAACAUGCUAAAUCCUGGGAUUUAGUACUGUGAGAAAGCCUUUUUCACUUUAACACAUUUAAUGUUGUUAAAUGCCCUUGUUCUCUUAUACCUGAUCCUUUCAGAUAAAAGAUGAGAGUGCAAGAAAAGUGAGUAGAGAAAGGACAAGUGAUAAAUAAUUACUAGUGUGAGAGACCUCAAUUUCAUGACCAUGCAGAGAGAGAGAGACCCCUUGAACCCCUUGAGAAUGGAAGUUCCUGUAACAUUGGCAUUGCAGGGAGUGAGGGAGAGGCCUCAGUGUUGUCUUUAAUCUGUGCGUCCAUUACACAGCCUGCAAAGCACUUAUGAAUGCCUGAGUUAGCAACAGCUUGGACUGGCAGUACAAACUGCUUCUGGAUUUGUCCUUUGAUGCACAUGGAAACAGAAAAACUGAACAUAACUGGUGUCAUGUUCUACUGUGCUCGAAACCAUCAUGGUUCUGAAUUGGCCCUUGGGUACAGCCUCUCAGACCAGCACAAUCAGGUUUCAGCUUGAGUGAUCCAAAUUUAAAGUUUGAGCAACUUUGGGUUCUAUCAUGUGUUGCCAUCAGAACUCAGCCCCUUGAUGGCUGCCAUCAGGGCUGCAGCCCUUUCUUUGGCUUUUAAUCCAGCCAGUGCAGAGGUAUUCCAAAUCAUGCUAAACAAUAAAUCCUGAACAGAAGAGACCUGUGCACUUUCAUGUUCCAUGUGUUUCUUGUGAGGAGUGGUAAUGAAAUGGUUCUCUUGUGGGUGUGAUUAUUACUGUUAAGCCCAACUAUUAUUGCCAUUACCUGUUGGCAGUGACAAUAAAGGUGAUCACAUCAAUCUGGGCUGCCUUGUGUGGAUGGUUAUGGCUCAUGAAUUUGCCUUAGAUGCCAUCCUUACUGUCUGAAAUGAGACCUAUAGGUCCCUCUGGAACUUGUUCACAGUUGCCUGCUGAUGAGCACAUGUAGGUGAUGGGUGAAGUCACUAGUGCAGUUUGGCCUCAUCCUUCCCCUUGUCUCCAAGUGACAGUAUCAUUAAUAAAUGACAGUAUAGUGUUCACAGCCCAGACAUUGCCCUGCCUGAGAAACUCACUGCUGGUGACCUUGCCACUGGAGAGGACUUCCUCCUGUGCACUAAAGAUGAGUUCAAAUUCACCAGAACCUUCUUUGUAGCAAUAUCUGUGCGCUAGUGCUCCUCAGGUACAAAUUGCACAUAAAACAUUUGCUUUUUCUUACUUUGAUAUUUGGGGUUUGAUUGUGUGCCCGAGCUUGCUGUCAGCUUAGCCUGUGAUCCUGGUAUAAUGUCAGCCAAAACAUACAGCUCUAUACCCCAUACCUUUAGGAAAAUCUGAUAGAAGUUACUGCUACCUCUUAGAGAGGUUACUACCUACAUUUCUGAAAGUUGACAAAACUUUUUCUGGUUUCCCAGGAGGCAGCUGCUGUCAAUUAAUGCAGUGACACCAAAGGGGAGUCCACUAUCUUCCCAGUUAAUUCUGCUGAUCAUGUUUUCCAUGUUGAUCUGACUCCUUCCCCUUGGUUUCAAAACCAUUUUUCUCUACUUAGAAUUUGCUAAUGUUUAAAUUCAUAUCCUCACAACAGUAUAAUUCCAGGCCUUCCAUCUUGAUCACUGUCAAAUUCAUACUAUUAUACGUUUUACAAUCUGCAGAAAAAAUUAUUGAUCUUACAACAUUUCAGGUCUAUUUUCUUGAAUAAUGCCAUAGUUAUCUGAGAACUUUGUUGUGGCCAGGCCCACAAGUACUGUACAUACUUAUUACAAGUACUGCAAUAUUUCACCUUUUCUUUCUUUCCUUUCUUUGUCCUUUUUUUUUUAAAACCCCUUCCCUCCCUUCUGAUUGAACCAGGGGUGAUCUCACUGAGCUACAUCACUAAUCUUUUUUUAUUUUUAUUUUGAGACAGUCUUGCUAGAUUGCUGAGGCUAGCCUCAAACUUACAAAUCCUGUCCCAGCCUCCAGAAUUACUACCAUGCCUGGCAUUUUUCUCCUUAUCAGUGAAAAAUCUCUUGACGUUGUCCCAGAGUUGUUUAGUGUAACAUCAGACCAUCUGAGGAUCAAUUGUGUUACUCAUGUAUUGUAUUUCCUGUAUAUUGGGAUGUACUGAAAUUCUGGGGGUCUGGGCAGAGACUGCACCUCCCAGUGUGCUAAGUUAUUCCUCAAGAUAGUAAACAACAUACGUGGAGGCAUGUAUUUCAUAUUCAAACCAACCAUCAAAAGGCCAAAUUCUCAGCUACUUGCUUUGUCUAACUAAUAUAUAAAGUCAGUAUUUCCCCUUCCAAAAAUCAACACAGGGAAAGGCUCAAGACAAAUAGUAAUAUUUCCUAUGCCUUUACCCAUGAGAAUUAUUCAAACUUGAUCCUAAACUUUUUCAUGCCCUGCUUUGCCUUUGUGGUGGAAAUUCCAAUAAAUGCUGAGGCAGAUGCUUUCUUCUUGCUUAUCUGUCUCCUGACCAACUCUCUCUCUUCCCCUUGUAGGCCUGUGCGGCCUCUGCUGUGCCCUUUUUGUUAGUACUAGGAGUAAAAAACAUAGUCACUGGAGCCUCUUUCUGUACUCAGUCAUCUUUAUGAAUCCACAAACUUAAAUCAAUCAUUUCUUGGCCUUUCUUCAUAGAUUUUAAUACCUGUGUGCAUAUCUCACAGCAAGAUGUUACCUUUCUUAGGUAAAUUUUGCACUGCGUGAGAGCUAUAUAUACUAGGCUGGUAUUGUCUAUGUCACUAAACUAUAUCCUCAACCUUUGUAAUUUUUUUAUUACAACAUUGCAGGAGGGGAAAAAAAGAUUAUAGGAGUUUACAUCUUAUGUGUUUUCCCCUUUCUGAUGGUGUCUUAUAGAUUUCUUCAUUUUGUCCUACCCAAGUGUCUCCAUUCCUUUAUGUUUUUCAGAAAUUUAAGACCUUAAAUAUGUUCCAUUACCUUGUCUUCCACAUUUUGUAAUUCUGAUUUCAAAUUUAUAUACUAAAUGCAUACCAUUUUGGUCAUUUUUCUCCCUAUGGACAUGAGAUUAUCAUAGCUCCUCUAUUUCUGGCAAACAACAUACAUGGAGGCAAGUAUUUCAUAUUCAAACCAACCAUCAAAAGGCCAGUGAGGGAGGUGGAUUCACAGUGAGAGAAAAGAGCUAAAUGCCAUUUUCCCCCCUCCAUUUACAUGUCCCCAACAUCUGACAACUCUAUGGUGGCUAUGAGACAUAGCAUAGACCUUUACAAAAAAGACUGAGAUGAUCAUCCUCCACCCUCAAUGUAGGCCAGCUUGUAAUAGAGAGAAUAAAUAGCAUGGAAAAGGCCUUUGAAAUGAAAUUCAUAUUGAAACCACAACUAUAGAAUGCUUACUUAAAUUUGCAUUUUUUCCUUUUUUUUUUUUUUUGGUAGUGCUGAGAAUCUGUGUUGUUGAGAAUAAAAACAUGGGGAUUUCAAAUUAUAAACAAGACAUUUACAAAAGAAAGGUUUAAGGCUGAUGUGACUUCUGUGAUUGUUAGGUUCUACUUUCCAGUUCAAUGGUAAAAUAUUUCAUGAAGACUGAGAAGAGGGCUGGGGAUGUGGCUCAAGCGGUAGCAUGCUCGCCUGGCAUGCGUGCGGCCCGGGUUCCAUCCUCAGCACCACAUACAAACAAAGAUGUGUCUGCCAAAACUAAAAAAUAAAUAUUAAAAAAAUUCUCUCUCUCUCUCUCUCUCUCUCUCUCUCUCUCUCUCUAAAAAAAAGACUGAGAAGAUAAAUAUUUUACAUUUAUACAUAUAUUUUAUAUAUGUAUAUUUUAAUCACUGAGAAGGAUACAAUGAAAUUGGUUUUUUAAAAGGUAAAUGAAAACAGUACUUAAGAAAUAGUUAACCCAGAGCUGGGGUUGUAGGUCAGUGGUAGAGCACUUGCCUAGCAUGUGAGGCACUGGGUUUAAUCCUCAGCACCACAUAUAAAUAAAUAAAUAAAUAAAGUUUAAAAAAUUUUUCAAAAUCUCAUAAAAAAUAGUUAACCCAAAAGAACAGUAAAAAGAGGAAACUGGAUAAUGAGAAAGGAGACCAUAGAGAUAAUAAUAUAGUAGAACUGAAUCUCAACAUACUCAGACACAUUAAAUGUAAUUGAAAGGAUGCACCCCAUUUUGCCUGUGCUAUCCCAGAGCAGCAGAUCUCCACAUACCUGGCAUCUAGGGAGAAAAGCUGAGCACUGAAGGAGCAGAGCAAUGGUGGCCAUGCUGGGCUGAGGCUGCUGCAUCUGGCAUUGCUCCUACCCAUGCAGAUUUAUUCAAAUUAAAACAGCUGUUGUGACGAUUUCAAAUAACUCCUCUCAGUGUACCUUUGCUGCCCUAAUUUCACCACCAAGAGGUAUCAGUGCCGUGCUGUCUACCAUCAGUGUCUUCACAGUCCUCGCGCUCUGUUCUACCUCUUUACUGUUAAAGAGACUUAGGCCAAGAACCAUCUCUGCUUCCCCAUCCUUUAAUUCCAAUCCAGAUGGCAACUACAAGUCCAGUCUGACAAGGACAUCAAAUACAGUAACUCCAAAUCUUAUUUUAUUGACAUAGAAAAAUGUUGAGAAUUAUAAAAUUUGAUUGGUUUGAAGAAUGUAAAGAAUUUUUUUAUUUAAUUAUUUAUUUAUUUGGCGGACACAAUAUCUUUGUUUGUAUGUGGUGCUGAGAUUCGAACCCAGGCCACACGCAUGCCAGGCGAGCGCGCUACCGCUUGAGCCACAUCCCCAGCCCGAAUGUAAAGAAUUUGACAGAUGAUGGAUGCCAAUAUUAAAUCUGUUGAAGUUUUAUGUAUAAGAUGAGGAGAAACAACAUCCAAACCUAAGAUAUGGCUUCCUCAAAUGUGGCUUAAGAAAUAUGGACACUUAGGGACUGGAUGUGCCUCAGUGGUAGAGCAUUUGCCUAGCACAUGUGAGGUGCUGGGUUCAAUCCUCAGCACCACAUAAAACAUAAAUGAAUAAAAUAAAGGUAUUGGGCUGGGGCUGGGGCUGGGGCAGUGGCAGAGCACUUGCCUAGUAUGUGUGAGACACUGGGGUUGAUCUUUAAUACCACAUAAAAAUAAAUAAAGGCAUUCUGUCCAUCUGUAACUAUAAAAAAUAAAAAUAAAUAAAAUAAAGGUAUUGUGUCCAUCUAUAACUAAAAAAUUAAUAAAAGAGAAAUAUGGACACUUAAAAUUCUACCUUGAAAAUAAGAAUAGAUUUUAUUAUUAGCGAUAAAAGAUGGGGUGUGGAAUAGAGAUUCAGUUUUCAUUCAGUUAAUUAAAUCUGUAAGGUCAUAAACCAGGUAAUAUAAAGAGCUUUCAUGACUCCACUUAUAUGUACAUUAGAAGGAACUUUCAGAUUUUACUAUAAAUCCUCAAUGUAAUUUGAGCAGUACUAAUUUAAUGCCAAUAUAUAAAUAAAGUUUCACAUAGUUAUGGUUUCACUAUUCUCUUGGGAACUGAACUCAUUUUCCUCUGUGGGUUUGGAUUUGACAUACAUUUUUGGUUUUUUAAAAUUUUAUUUAUUUAUUUUUUUAUCCUGGGCAUUGAAGCCAAGGUGUUCUAUCACCAAGCUACAUCCCUAUCCCUUUUUAAAAUUUUGAGACAAUGUUUCACUAAGUUGCUGAGGCUAGCCUUGAACUUGCAAUCCUCCUGCCUCAGCCUCUCAAGUAGCUAGAAUUACAGGCAUACAUCAUCAAGUCUUAGAGAGUCUACAUUUAAUAUCAUACAAAAUACACUUCAGAGCAAAGAAAAUCACCAGGUAAUAUAAAGAGCUUUCAUGACCAAAGGAAAAGAAGAGCCUAACAGAAUGUUGAUACUGUAAUAAUAUAUCAAUUCACUGAAAAGUAUCUUAAAUGUACGGACAUCUAACAAUAGAGCUUCAUAAUACAUGAAGGAAAAAGAGAUACAUUGGUGGGGGGGAAGCAGACAUCCAUAUAAAAUCUCUUCCAUCAAUAAUAAACAGAAUAGUAGGGGCUGAGGAUAUAACUCAAUUUGUAGGGUGCUUGCCUCACAUGCGCAAGGCCCUGGGAUCAAUCCCCAGCAACACCCCAAAAUAAAUUAAACAAUAGUAGAGAGCAUGAGCAGGGUUUUUUAAAAAAUGUGAAUAAAUAUUUAUCAAAAGGAUCACAUUGACAUCUGUAAAAUGUGAUAUAGCAACAGUUAAAUAUAAUUACUUUCACAUGUACAUGGAACAUUCUCCAACAAUGUACAUAUCCUGGGGCAUUAAAGAAACUGUAAAACAAAGUGUAUUAUUUGACCAUGAUGAAGUUAGACUAGAAAUUAAGAACAGAACAGAAAAGGGCUGAGAUGUAGCUCAGUGGUACAGCACUUGUCUAGAAUGUGCAAGGCCCUGGAUUCAAUCCUCAGUACUUGAAAAGAAAUUAAUAAAUUUGCCAGGCACAGUGUCAUACACCCAGAAUCUCAGUGGCUCAGGAGUCUGAGGCAGGAGGAUCACAAGUUCAAAGCCAGCCUCAGCAACUUAGUGAGGCCCUAAGCAAAAAAAAAAAAAAAAAAAAAAAAAAAUAGGGCUGGGGAUAUGGCUCUGUGGUCAAGUGCCCCUGACUUCAAUCCCCUGUACCCCCACCCCCACCCCCCCCAAAAAAAAAUCACAUCACUUCACUAGGAUGACUAAAACGAAAUGUAAAUGUUAGAAAGGCUGUGGAGACACUGGAAAUUUCAUACACUUCCUGCAGUAAUGGAAAAUGCUUCAGCCAUUUUGGAAAAUAGCCUGGGAGUUCUGCACAUUUAAAAACAUACAGUUUCUAAUUGACCCAGCAAUUCCACUCCUUGGAAUAUCCCUAAAAGCUCAAGUAUAUAUAAAAAGAUAUUGGUAAAUUUUUAUAGCCGCAUUAUGUAUGAGGUCCCAAAAGUCCAAACAAAUGUCUAUGAACUGAUGAAUGGAUAAAUUAUAUCCACACAACAGAAUAUCAUCCAGCAAUAAAAGGGAAAGAAAUACACUAUAUCCCAGAUGAACCCUGAAAGAAAUGCUGUGUAAAAGAAACUAUUGGUCAAAGAUUGUAUGAUUUUGUUACAUGAAAUUUCUACAAAAGGCAGAUCUAUAAUUAGUAGCUUUGUGGUUGUUCAGAGAUUAAGGGAGUAAGAAAAUGGCUGUAAGAGAAAGGGUUCUAAAAUUGUGCUGACUGCAAAUCUCUGUGAAUAUACUAAAAAAUAAAUUUUACAGUUUCAAAUGCAUUGUUUAUGGUAAGCAAUAGUUUAAGCUAUUCUGUAAAUUGAGUAAAAGGGAAAAUCAUGAUAGUACCAACCUAAUUGUGACCAUGAAGAAUUCAAUGUCUGUGAAGCAUAUAGACUAGUAGUAGGCAACAAACGUUAGCUACCAUUAUAUUUUUAGCACUAUUGAUAUAAAACUUUUGGGAACAAAGGGGUGGCUUGGUGGUAAAGUAUAUGCUUAGCAUUCAGGAGGCCAUGUAUCCAGCACCAAAAGAAAAGAAAACGACUCAAUUUAAAAAAAAAAGGAGUAAAAAUAAUAUAAUAUUGGGCUGGGGUUGUAGCUCAGUGGUUGAGCACUUGCCUCGCAUGUGUGAGGCACUGGGUUUGAUCCUCAGCACCACAUUAAAAAAUAAAUGAAACAAAGAUAUUGUGUCCACCUACAACUAAAAUAAUAAUAAUAAUAAUAAUAAUAAUAAUAAUAUGAUAUUGAUAUUAGUGUGAGUAAAUACAUUACUAGCAUAGAAUGUCUAGAAACUGACAAAAGUAUGUAUAGGAAUUAUUGUUUAUUCAAGGUGGGAUUUCAUCAAUAGGUCAGGGACAGUUUCUUAAUAAGUGGUACUCCAAUAACUGGCCAUCCUUCUAGAGGAAGAUAUAUUGGAUCCACUAUCCCACAAUGCAUGCCAAAAUAUAUUAAUUCUUUUUUGCAGUGUUGGAAAUCAAAGCCACAGACUCUUGAAUACUAGGCACUCUACCACUGAGCUACAGCCCCAAUCCCAAGAUACAAAUCUUUCAUAAAGAAGUAUCUUUCAAAAGAAAAUUUGAGUUGUGUGUAGUGGUGCAUGCCUGCAAUUCCAGCUACUUAGGAGGCUGAUGCAGGAAAAUCACAAGUUUGAGGUCAGCCUGGGCAACUUAGCAAGACCUUGACUCAAAAUAAAAAGGAUGGGGGAUUAGAGCUUAGUGGUAGAGUCCCCCUAGGUUUAAUCUCCAGUACUUAAAAAAAAAAUCAAAGGAAACUUUGAUAAUCUAUAUAUAAUCAAUUUGAUUAGACUUUUUCUUUUCUUUUUCUUUUUGUUGUGCUGGGGAUCAAUCCCCGACAAGCACUCAACCACUGAGUUAUGUCCCCAAUAACAAGAUUUAAGGAUGACAAGACUUAAGGCAAGUUAUUACAUUCAAAUUAUAGAAAAACAAUCUCUUGGACUGUGUAAAACAUAAAUAUUUUAUACAUCAAUAGUUGCACAUUAAAGAAGAAUUUAAAAUAUCACUCUUUGCUGAUGACAUGACUCUAUUUCUAGAGGAUCCAAAAAAUUCCACCACAAAACUUCUAGAACUAAUAAAUGAAUUCAGCAAAGUAGCAGGAUAUAAAAUCAACACCCAUAAAUCAAACGCAUUCCUAUACAUCAGCAAAGAAUCCACUGAAAGAGAAGUUAGGAAAACCACUCCAUUCACAAUAGCCUCAAAAAAACAAAACAACAAAACUACAACAAAAACAACAACAACAACAAAAAAAAACCUGAGAAUCAAUCUAACAAAAGUGGUAAAGACCUCUACAAAGAAAACUACAAAAUCCUAAAGAAAGAAAUUGAAGAAGACGUCAGAAGAUGGAAAGAUCUCCCAUGCUCCUGGAUAGGCAGAAUUAAUAUUGUCAAAAUUGCCAUACUACCAAAAGCAUUAUAUAGAUUUAAUGCAACUCCAAUUAAAAUCCCAAUGACAUUCUUCAUAGAAUUAGAAAAAGCAAUCAUGAAAUUUUUUGGAAAAAUAAGAGACCCAGAAUAACUAAAGCAAUCCUUAGCAAGAAAAGUGAAGCAGGAGGCAUCACAAUACCAGACUUUAAACUAUACUACAAAGCUAUAGUAAUAAAAAUGGCAAGGUACUGGCACCAAAAUAGACUUGUAGACCAAUGGUACAGAAUAGAGACCACAGAGACAAACCCGCAUAAAUAUGGUUAUGUCAUACUAGACAAAGAUGCCAAAAACAUUCACUGGAGAAAAGAUGGUUUAUUCAAUAAAUGGUGCUGGCAUGAAAUUAAACCUCUAUCUCUCACCCUGCAAAAAAAAAUCAACUCAAAGUGGAUCAACAAAUAGGCACCAGAACAGAGACCCUGUGCCUAAUAGAAGAAAAUAUAGGUCUAAAUCUUCACCACAUUGGCCUAGGAUCUGACUUCCUUAACAAGACUCCUAAAGCACAAGAAGUAAAAUCGAGAAUCAGUUAAUAAGAUGGAUUCAAAUUUCAAAAAACUUAACCAAAAAACCAAAUAGCCCAAUCAAUAAAUGGGCUAAGGAACUGAACAGACAUUUCACAGAAGAAGAAAUACAAUUGAUCAACAAAUAUAUGAAAAAGUGUUCAACACCUCUAGCAAUUAGAGAAAUGCAAAUCAAAACUAAGAUUUCAUCUCACUCCUGUCAGAAUGGCAAUCAUCAAGAAUACAGGCAACAGUAAAUGUUGGUGAGGAUGUGGGGGAAAAUGUACACUCAUACAUUACUGGUGGCACUGCAAAUCGGGUACAACCACUACAGAAAACAGUAUGGAGAUUCCUUAGAAAAUUGGGAAUGGAACCACCAUUUGACCCAGCUAUCCCACUCCUUGUUUUAUACCCAAAGGACUUAAAGUCAGCAUACUAUAUUGACACAGCCACCUCAAUGUUUAUAGCAGCUCAAUUCACAAUAGCUAGACUAUGGAACCAACCUAGGUGUCCCUCAAUAGAUGAAUGAAUAAAGAAAAUGUGGUAUAUAUACUCAAUGGAAUAUGACUCAGCUUUAAAGAAGAGUAAGGUUAUGGCAUUUGCCAGUAAAUGGUUGGAGUUGGAGAAUAUCAUACUAAGUGAAAUAAGCCAAUCUCACAAAACCAAAGGACAAGUGUUUUCUCUAAUAUGCAGAUGCUAAUUCACAAUAUGGUGGCAGGGGGCACUAGGGAAGUGUGGUGAGCCGUGUCUGUAGACCGUUGCCACCAUUAGAAGAUGGCGCCGGUCUCCGUUGUGGAUCUUGGUAAACAACUCCUUAUUAGGGAGAAUUGGCGCGCUGUCCCUCAAUACCCUAUGAGAAAACCCCGCGUGGAAGCUUUGGAUUGGUCUUGAGUAAGCUUUAUUAGGCUGUGUGUGGGUGCGCGGGAGAGAGCGCGCUUGAGAGAAGACUAAGAAUUAAGGCCUGAAUAAACCGCUGAAAGAAGAAUCCUGUGUCGUGUCUUCCUUGCUGGCGAGGGGGUCGCGACAGUUGGUGGCCCGCACGGGGAACCGAAUACCUCUCAAUCCCAGGAUCCAGAACUUUCAGCGGUCAGGGUGGUGCACCGGUAAGUUCCCAGGUAAGUGGGAAUCCGCGGAAAAAUUAGCGGGUCGCUCCUCUGUAAGAAGAGAGAGCGGGGACUUUUUGGACUUUCGCUUUAUUUCUUUGCUUUCGCUUUCUGCAUUAACGCCAUGGGCGCCUCUGCUUCUAGCCCUAUUCUGUUAGCCCUGGAUGGACUGCUACGAUCUAAAGGUUUAAAAGUUAAACAGAGUACUUUGCAGAUGUUCUUAAAACAAAUAGAUCUAGAGGCCCCGUGGUUUGCUUACUCGGGCAGUCUCACGACCCCCAGCUGGGAAAAACUAGGCAGGGAUUUAGAUUUUGCACACGAACAAGGGACCCUCGAAGGUGGGGUGAUUCCCUUAUGGAAGUUAGUAAGGGGUUGUUUAUCUGACAGUAGAUGUCAGGAUGCCCUAACCAAAGGACAGGAGGUUCUUGAACAAUUGCAUGAGGAGAGGUCCGAGGGAGCUGAGAGUAUUAAGAGUGGGGGGAGUGAUAGAGAUGAUAAACGUUCAAGCCAGCCAAAGACUAGACUUUAUCCAGAUUUGACUGAAUUGAAAGCCUUUGAGGAAGACAGUAGCUCAGACAAUGAGGAAGUAUUGGAAUUGCUAUCACGGAAAGCUAGAGAGAAAAAAGGAAAAGGUGUGACUAAAGGGCGAGGUGAUCCCCGUAAGGCUGUCUACACAGAACAUAAGUACCAAAAGACAGAUGUGGGACAUGAGGAAGAGGGGGAGGAAAUUUUGGAGAUUCCUCCUGAUCCUCCACCCUAUCCUAACCCAGGACUCAAUAGGACGUUUCAUGCACAAACAUGGAGAAAGGUUCAUUCGGACAUGGGUCUAGCAUUCCCUGUGUUUCAAGAUGCCAAUCGGGGGCGAUAUCAUGAACCCCUUGACUUUAAUAUUGUCAAGACAUUGGCUGAAUCAGUCCGAACCUAUGGUGUGGAUGCUGCAUUUACACUUACCCAGGUGGAGGGCCUUUCUCGUUUUUGCAUGACUCCGUCUGAUUGGGCGAGCCUGGUGCGCGCCUGUGUUUCUCCAGGAAAGUAUCUGGAUUGGAGAGCAUUUAUGUUAGAGGGGGCAGUAGAGCAGGCGGCCCAAAACCAUGCGGCGGGACGCCCUGCCUGGGAUAAGGACAUGCUUUUGGGACAGGGCAGAUUUGCCAAUCAACAAACAGGGUACCCACCGGAAGUAUAUGAGCAAAUCAACAACAUCUGCAUCCGAGCCUGGAAGUCCUUGCCUAACAGAGGGGAAGUAUCUGGUAAUCUAACUAAGAUCAUCCAAGGUCCCAUAGAGCCUUUUUCUGACUUUGUGGCUCGGAUGGUAGAUGCAGCGGGGAAAAUAUUCGGGGACCCUGAUAGAGCUAUGCCUUUGAUCAAACAACUUGUUUUUGAACAAUGUACUAAGGAAUGAAAAGCAGCUAUAACCCCAUAUAAAAACAAAGGAAUAGAGGCAUGGAUGAAAGUCUGUAGGGAAAUAGGUGGGCCCCUUACUAAUGCAGGGUUGGCUGCUGCCGUUCUCCAGCUAACCCGAAAACCACCCCCUCAUACAGGAAAGUGCUUUAGAUGUGGCCAGGAGGGACAUUUUAAGCGUGAUUGUCCCCGAACAUGUCAGUUACAGGACAAAAAAGGGUCAUCCUCAAUUGUUCGACAGCCGGGACUAUGUCCUCGUUGCAAGAAGGGUAAACAUUGGGCUAAUGAAUGCAGGUCAGUCAAGGACAUUCAUGGACAGCCAAUAUCAGAUAGACAGGUGCCAAAAAACGGCCGGAGGGGCCCUCGACCUCAGGGCCCGCAAAUAUAUGGGGCAAUGGAGAAUGGGAUCAUGGAGAGCGAAACAUGGCCAUCUCUACGACAUCCCAAAGAUCGCGGAGAACCACUACAGGUGCCGCGGGACUGGACCUCUGUUCCGCCUCCAGACUCGUAUUAACACCUAAAAUGGGAGUCCAAUUGGUGGAAACUGACUUUAAAGGGCCUUUGCCACCUGGUACUGUAGGGUUGUUAAUUGGGCGUGCUUCUUCCGCUUUACAAGGUCUUUACAUUUUCCCUGGAAUUAUUAAUCCGGAUACAAUAGGAACAGUAAAGGUUAUGGUAGAAGUUCCAAAAGGUAUUGUGUCCAUCUCCCCAGGAGACCGGAUUGCUCAAUUGUUAAUUCUACCCAGUCUACAUACCCGUUUUCCUGCUGGCUCCCAUUUGAGAUUAAAUGAUAAGAUUGGGACAAUGGUGGGGGGGGGAUUGUGCAUUUUUGUCCUUAGAAAUGGAUGACCGUCCCACAUUAAAAUUAACUAUAGAAGGCAAAUCAAUUUUAGGAUUACUGGAUACUGGAGCAGAUCGUAGCAUAAUAGCAAUGAAGGACUGGUCAAAGGGGUGGCCGGUGCAACUCUCGGAUCAAUCGCUGAGGGGUUUAGGAUAUGCUCAAGCUCCACAAGUCAGCUGUAGACAUCUAUCAUGGAAAGAUUCUGAAGGACAUUCUGGCAUUUUUCAACCAUGUGUACUUGAUCUCCCAAUCUCCCUAUGGGGACGUGAUCUUAUGAAGGACAUGGGGUUUCAACUUAGUAAUGAAUACUCAGCAGUUGCCCAAAAGAUAAUGCAAGACAUGGGAUAUAGACCAGGUCUUGGACUAGGUAAAAAUUUACAGGGACGUAGACAUCCCGUACAAUCAAUACCAAAACUUAACAGACAUGGGUUGGGUUUUUCUUAGGGGCCACUGAGGAUCAAGUGCCCAUUACCUGGAAGUCAGGGGAGCCAGUAUGGGUGCCUCAGUGGCCACUCUCCUCUGAGAAACUGACUGCAGCACAUGUUUUAAUUCAAGAACAGUUAAAGUUAGGACAUAUAAGGCCAUCCACUUCUCCUUGGAAUACACCCAUCUUUGUUAUUAAAAAAAAGACUGGAAAAUGGCGGUUGCUGCACAAUCUAUGGGCUAUUAAUGCUCAAAUGCAACUCAUGGGAUCUAUUCAGAGAGGGUUGCCUUUGCUUUCUACUAUCCCUAAAAAUUGGCCAGUGAUAUGUAUAGACAUUAAAGAUUGUUUCUUUUCCAUCCCAUUGCAUCCUCUAGAUUCAGAACGUUUUGCUUUCACUUUGCCUUCGUGUAAUCACGAGGAGCCUGAUCAGAGGUUUGAAUGGGUGGUUCUGCCGCAGGGCAUGGCAAAUAGUCCUACCAUGUGUCAAAUGUUUGUCGGUGCGACUAUUGCUCCACUCAGACAAAAAUAUCCAUCAUUAAGGUGUGUACAUUAUAUGGAUGAUAUUUUGUUAGCAGCAAAGACCCAAUGUAUGUUGGAGGCCGCUUAUACUGACUUAGUACAUUUGCUACAGCUAAAAAACUUGUUUAUUUCACCUGAUAAGGUACAGAUAGGGGACUCCAUUAAUUAUCUUGGUGCUACUAUCUCUUGUAAAGUUAUCACACCCCAAAAGAUAACUCUGAGGACUGAUAAACUACAGACACUAAAUGAUUUCCAAAAAUUAUUGGGUGAUAUAAAUUGGAUUAGAAGUUACCUACAUAUUCCCAAUGUUGAAUUAAAACCUUUGUAUGAAAUUCUUAAAGGUGAUUCAGAUCUUACUUCCCCUCUACAUUUUACUGAGGAAGCCAGGUCAGUGUUGCUUAAAGUGGAAAAGGCUAUACAACAUGCUAGCCUUUGUAGGUUUCAAGAGGAUAAACCUCUCCAACUAUGUGUGCUCGCCACUGUGCGACAACCUACUGGAGUUUUAUGGCAAGAUGGUCCUUUACUGUGGAUACAUCCACGUAUGUCCCCUGGAAAAUCCCUUGAGUAUUAUCCUGAUGCAGUUGCUUCCUUAGCUAUGUUAGGGAUACAACAAAGUGUACAAUUUUUUGGUUUCCCUCCAACGUCUGUGAUUGUUCCUUAUACAUGUCAACAAAUUCUGGUCUUAUGUGCUAACUUGGAUAAUUGGGCUAUAUUACGAUGCUCCUUUCCAGGAGAGAGAGAUAAUCACUAUCCAUCACAUCCUCUUAUUACAUUUGUUAAGGAACAUCCUAUCAUUUUCCCUAAAAUCACUUCUUCUACGCCUAUUCCAGGAGCUGCAAAUAUCUUUACAGAUGGAUCUAAGACUGGUAUUGGAGCUUAUGUGAUAAAUGAUCAACCUCCUAUCCAACAUCAGUUUGCUCCUGGUAACCCACAAUGGGUGGAGCUGCAAAUUGUCAUAAAAGUUUUUGAACAAUGUCCAUUUCCUUUUAAUUUAAUCUCAGAUUCUGUCUAUGUAGUUCAAGCUUUAAAGGUGUUGGAAGCAGUGGGUCCCAUACACACAUCAGGAGUAAUGUCUUCUCUUUUUCUCCAUCUUCAAACAUUGAUUUGGAAUCGUUCCGCCUGUUUUUACCCCUUGCAUAUUCGAGCCCACACAGGUUUACCGGGUGCUCUUUCUGCGGGCAAUGCCCAGGCAGAUCUUACUACUCGUCCUUCUUGGGUGUUCCCUAUUUCCUCCUUAGAUCAAGCUAGAAACUUUCAUAGUAAGUUUCAUAUUAAUGCACGAGCACUUCAGAAACGCUUUACCAUCUCCCGUGCUGAUGUGUGAUUUUACAUCAUCCUCCUUCUAUAGGUGUAAAUCCUCAUGGUUUACGGCCUUUAACUAUAUGGCAAAUGGAUGUUACUCAUGUUCCUGACUUUGGUAAACUUAAAUAUGUCCAUGUAUCUGUAGAUACUUGUUCUGGCAUUAUCUAUGCUUCCGCUUUGUCUGGGGAAAAAGCUGGAAAUGUUAUCACACACUGCUUGGAAGCUUGGGCAGCCUGGGGAUUACCACAGUCCAUUAAGACGGACAAUGGUCCAGCAUAUACUCGGCGACAAUUUUCUUCCUUUUGCAGCCAGAUGGGGAUCCAACUUAUCCAUGGUUUACCUUACAAUCCACAAGGCCAGGGUAUUGUAGAGCGCGCUCAUAAGACUCUAAAAGAAAUGUUACUAAAACAAAAAGGGGGAAUUGGCUUAGGCCACUCCCCGAAAGAGCGCCUCUCCCUGGCUCUAUUUACUAUCAAUUUUUUAAAUUUGGACAUUCAAGGGCGCUCUGCUGCAGAUAGGCAUUGUUCGCCCUCUGCCCCGAAUUUUGGGUAUGUUAAGUGGAAAGAUGUCCUUUCCUGACAAUGGUAUGGGCCUGAUCCCGUGCUGGCAUGGGCACGAGGUUCUGUCUGUGUUUUCCCACAGGACCGAGCGGAGCCGGUGUGGAUCCCUGAACGACUAAGGAGAAAAGUCUCGAAGACAACUGACCAACAACGGGGGACCCUACAAGAGUCCAACGAUGAGACCCUUCAUUCUGCUGAGUAUCCUGGCCCUAUCACAGACGAUGAUGGUCCAGAUGUUACCGAUGCAGUGGUGGGCGGUAGCUCGGACAUGGCCGAUGCCGAUGCCGGUCCAUAAAAAUUCUAGUGUCCUCCCCACUCUUUUUUCUACUUCAUGUGAGAUGUCUGCCCCUUGUGUCUCCCCUAGAGGAGACGGACAACAGGUUUUCAACCUUUCUCGUGUUAAUCUCACGGGAGUUUUCUGCUUCAGUUUCUUGAGAACCCGUUGUAUUCGCUUACAGCGCAACAAUUUGACCAAUUGGGAGGACCCCUUACAGAACAGUAGGGUCUCACUGGGAACCUUGUUUGCGGCGCUUAGCCAAGUGAGUAGUGGGACAACGGAGGGCUCAGGAGAGACUACAAAUUCGACCGAAAUGAAUAUCACCACUUUGGCUAUAACUUCCCAGGUGUCACUCCCGGUGGCUUUUCCUAACGCUAGUAAUGCCACUUAUUUUAAGGCCUCUCCUUAUUGUACCCCGUACUAUUCUUUCCCCCCGACAUUCACGCCUUGUCAAGAUCAUUCUUGGGAGAAGCGCAAAGUUGCUGUGGGUUUCUCUCUUUCCCCUUCUCUUAAAAGGUAUUUGUAUAAUUCUUCCAAGGAUAAUUCCACUACAGGAACAGGCUGGUCUUGGUUUCAAUGGUUGAUUUCCAAUGAAAAGGGGGCCACAGCCGAUGUCUCUGCUCUGGCUCAAUUGAGAGGAGUCCAGAGCUGGCUGUUUAAUGUGUCUGGCUCUGUACAGGACACUGCUAAUGGUAGGAGGUUUAAAAACAUUUCAUACAAUUCUCAGGUGUCCAAUGCUACACUGCCCUCUGCAGCAGUCUGCCUUCAUUCUCCGUUUCUGUUCCUUUUGACCAAUGAUACCAAUACUACAGGAUCGGAAAUGAUUGACUGUUCUAAUUGUACAUGUGUCUUGUCUGAGUGUUGGAAUGGAUCCUGGAGCACGGCAGUUGUUAUGAAGGUCCCGACUUUCGUCCCGAUUCCGGUUACUGCAGAUCCGGACUCCUUCCGUAUUAUUGAGGUGCUCAGGAGCCGUAGGGACUUUGGAAUUACGGCAGCUAUUGUAACAGCGGUUGCAGUGUCUGCUGCUGCAGCAGUCACUGCUGGAGUGGCCAUGGCUAGUCAAGUGCAGACUGCGGCCACGGUUAAUCAGGUCAUCCAACAAACUUCCAACAUUUUAGAGUCUCAAAGUAAAAUCAAUCAACAUAUUUUAUCAGGAAUUUUGGCCGUUAAUCAAAGGGUGGAUCUCCUCCAAGCUCAGAUUGAGGAACUGUCAGACCUAGUACAUUUGGGUUGUGUUGAUCAUCGUGCACAUCUAUGUAUAACAUCUCUCAGAUUUAAUGAUUCCAGAAAUACCUCUCAAAUCAUUGGACAGUACCUGGCCGGAAACUGGUCCAUGGAAGCAGAGAAGUUGAUCCAGACCCAACUGACACAAAUUGCCAUGUUGAACAACACUCGUGUNCCAAGUUAUCUUUGACAUUGCACUGGGAUUGGCAUGCCCUCCUCUUCCUGCCUUCCCAGUUAUGGAAGGCCCAUGCACUCUGCAGGCCUUGUUGCCAUUGCACGCAGGUGGGCUUCCAUGCUGGUGCUGCACUUUAUGCUUUGGACCCUUCGUUUUCUCAGGGGCUGAGAGAUAGUGUUGCCACUUCCAACCUCAUAGUCACUGACCGGCUACUUGUAAAAUCCCCUUCCUUUUUGCUGUCAUCACGAUGCAGGAUGCGAGGCAAGGCACUGCACUUGAGUGAUCCGGUCUCCGGACCUCAAGGGAAGCAUGUCCUAUUGCAUACGGGUUUGGCGUCCACGCCCCGUCCCACGAAAAAAGGCGUCAGCUGAUAUGGUGUCAGAUCUAAGGAAGGCGCCUCCUUGGGACUGAGCCAUACAUUGCAGCCAUGUUUGCACAGUGGGAUAGGACCUCUACUUUUGCCUGCAUCGUUUUUUAAGAAAUAAGGGGGAACUGUGGUGAGCCGUGUCUGUAGACCGUUGCCGCCAUUAGAAGAUGGCGCCGGUCUCCGUUGUGGAUCUUGGUAAACAACUCCUUAUUAGGGAGAAUUGGCGCGCUAUCCCUCAAUACCCUAUGAGAAAACCCCGCGUGGCAGCUUUGGAUUGGACUUGAGUAAGCUUUAUUAGGCUGUGUGU